rnacentral:rRNA from 1 species
GACGAACGCUGGCGGCGCGCCUAACACAUGCAAGUCGAACGGAGCUAUUUCGACAGAUCCCUUCAGGGUGACAUUGGCUUAGCUUAGUGGCGAACGGGUGAGUAACACGUGAGGAACCUGCCCUUCAGAGGGGGACAACAGUUGGAAACAGCUGCUAAUACCGCAUAAUGCAACGAAAUCGCAUGACUUUGUUGCCAAAGAUUUAUCGCUCUGAGAUGGCCUCGCGUCUGAUUAGCUAGUUGGCGGGGUAACGGCCCACCAAGGCGACGAUCAGUAGCCGGACUGAGAGGUUGGCCGGCCACAUUGGGACUGAGACACGGCCCAG